AUUCUCCAAUCAAAUCUAAUUCUAUAUGUGUCGGUUCUUUCUCCUUUUGAAUUUUAUCGAGUUCAAUUUUACAAGCAUUAGCACCUUCUCUAAGAAACUCCUUUUCUAAAAAGACUGUCCUAUUACUGACAAACACCUUUUAAUCUUCAGCGAGGUAGAAGUAAUAUCCUUUAGUUUUCUUUGAGUACCCUACAAACAAUCAUUUAUCGAACUUAGGUCCAAGCUUAUUUGUCUUGAAAUGCUUGACAUAAGCUGGACACCCCUAGACUCUA
rnacentral:lncRNA from 1 species